UACAGAGGGUGCAAGCGUUGUUCGGAAUCAUUGGGCGUAAAGCGCACGUAGGCGGCUUACUAAGUCGGAUGUGAAAGCCUGGGGCUCAACCCCAGAAGUGCAUUCGAAACUGGUGAGCUUGAAUGUCGGAGAGGGCAGUGGAAUUCCGAGUGUAGAGGUGAAAUUCGUAGAUAUUCGGAGGAACACCAGUGGCGAAGGCGACUGCCUGGACGAACAUUGACGCUGAGGUGCGAAAGCGUGGGGAGCAAACAGG
rnacentral:rRNA from 1 species